CUUUUUGAAACCCGCAUCAUUGUCCUGAUGGCUGUAUAAAUGUGCUCAUCAAAACUCAACUGGCUGGGCUGGGGAUUUAGCUCAGUGGUUCCGAUGCCUGCCUCACAAGUGCAAGGCCCUAAGUUCAAUCCCCAGUAUCUCAACUGGCUGAGCCAACACACCAGCCAUGUGCAAGGUAGAUGAGGUUGUGGGAACAAAGGAUUCUCCCCCACUUUCCUCAAUGGAGAUGCUCAGUACUCCUCUCCCCUGUGAGAAUUCUGCUGGAUGUUCAGCAGCUGGGAUCAGGUAAAGUUGUGGGUCAUUUUUCCCUGUAGGAA
rnacentral:lncRNA from 1 species